UAACUAUUGUGUUUUUCUGACGCUGACUGCAACUGCAAAGGGUUUAAAAGGUCCUACUGGCAGGCGAGCCUGCCGAGGAAACAGUGGUACGCAAAAAGCACGGGUAUAUCAGACAGGGCGGAGGAGAAUUGGUCACAAUUCAAGGUCCGCCCCCGUUAUUGGUUAAUGAUCCUUCCGCAGGUUCACCUACGGAAA
rnacentral:misc_RNA from 1 species